UUGAUUAAUUCAAUAUUUACUCAGACGCAAAGAUGCAGGGUUGAAUGGUCCACCGAGGGCCCCGGAGCCCCAGAAAGGGCCGGGUCGCCCCCGAGGCAACAGAGUCGGAAAACAUGGGGUUGGAGGUCGGGCCACAAGGACCCUCACUCAGUAAUGAUCCCUCCGCAGGUUCACCUACGGAGA
rnacentral:misc_RNA from 1 species